rnacentral:rRNA from 1 species
UACGUAGGUGUCAAGCGUUGUCCGGAUUUAUUGGGCGUAAAGCGCCCGCAGGCGGCUUGCCAAGUUCGAUGUGAAAUCUCCCGGCUCAACUGGGAGGGUGCAUCGAAAACUGGCAGGCUUGAGGCAGGGAGAGGGAUGUGGAAUUCCAGGUGUAGUGGUGAAAUGCGUAGAGAUCGGCAGGAACACCCAGGGAGAAAUCAGCCGCCUGGGCAAGUGCUGACGCUGAGGUGCGAAAGCGUGGGGAGCGAACCGG